UUAAUAAUAUUAAACUUAUCGAUACAUUUUUAACCUCAUCCCUAUUUGUUAAUUCGUGACAAACUGUUAACACGCCAUGGUAUUCUCGCCCGUAUUACUGGCCGUUUCGGGUCUUGGUUGCGUGAGCGCCAAACCAUGAACAAACAAACGAGUUUGCUGUCUUGUUGCUAUCUAAAGAUUGCCUCGGCAAUAUUUAAAAACUUUGUAAAAUAUCAAUUUUAAACGUGAUAUUAACUACGCAUCACGUUUACGCGUACAUAAAAUUUAUUUAUUAAUUAUAUUUCCCUAUGUGUAAGUUUAUAUAAUAUUCUAAAUUAAGUAUCUGUAUGUUAAAAGUUUUGAGAUGGACUUUUGUUCGUAAAACAUAAUAUGAUCUUAUGAUGUUGUACCGCUAGGACUCAAUAUACACUGGCUUUUGUACAUUUUAUUUAUAUUGUUAUGAAAAUAAAGAUAUUUUAAAAUUGAAUUGAAUUGAAAUAAUUGCAUAUAUAUUAGGAAAUUGACUUGAGAUAUCACCUAUUACAAUCUAAACAGUUAUUAUUUUCAAGUGACUUUCUUCACUUUACUUGAAGGAUUCAAUUAAAUUUAAUUCAUUUAUCUUUAAAUAAUUUAUGUAUAUGAUGUAGCCAAGCACAACGAGCCACGAGUGAGUACAGAGAUGUUUCGGUACUCGGGAUGGCAUGGGCGUAACCGGCGCAGUCAGCGAAGAACUAUCAAGCGAGAUGGUCGUGUCGGACACGCAUGCCGGGAACGCCACAUUCUUGAUACCGAAUCUAUUAAAGCUAUUUGUGAAUUAUAA